rnacentral:rRNA from 1 species
AUUGAACGCUGGCGGCAGGCCUAACACAUGCAAGUCGAGCGGAUGAAGGGAGCUUGCUCUGGAUUCAGCGGCGGACGGGUGAGUAAUGCCUAGGAAUCUGCCUGGUAGUGGGGGAUAACGUCCGGAAACGGGCGCUAAUACCGCAUACGUCCUGAGGGAGAAAGUGGGGGAUCUUCGGACCUCACGCUAUCAGAUGAGCCUAGGUCGGAUUAGCUAGUUGGUGGGGUAAAGGCCUACCAAGGCGACGAUCCGUAACUGGUCUGAGAGGAUGAUCAGUCACACUGGAACUGAGACACGGUCCAGACUCCUACGGGAGGCAGCAGUGGGGAAUAUUGGACAAUGGGCGAAAGCCUGAUCCAGCCAUGCCGCGUGUGUGAAGAAGGUCUUCGGAUUGUAAAGCACCUUAAGUUGGGAGGAAGGGCAGUAAGUUAAUACCUUGCUGUUUUGACGUUACCAACAGAAUAAGCACCGGCUAACUUCGUG